rnacentral:rRNA from 1 species
UGCUAAUACCGCGUAACAACAAAUCACACAUGUGAUCUGUUUGAAAGGUCCUUUUGGAUCGCUAGAGGAUGGUCUUGCGGCGUAUUAGCUUGUUGGUAGGGUAGAAGCCUACCAAGGCAAUGAUGCGUAGCCGAGUUGAGAGACUGGCCGGCCACAUUGGGACUGAGACACUGCCCAAACUCCUACGGGAGGCUGCAGUAGGGAAUUUUCCGCAAUGCACGAAAGUGUGACGGAGCGACGCCGCGUGUGUGAUGAAGGCUUUCGGGUCGUAAAGCACUGUUGUAAGGGAAGAAUAACUGAAUUCAGAGAAAGUUUUCAGCUUGACGGUACCUUACCAGAAAGGGAUGGCUAAAUACGUGCCAGCAGCCGCGGUAAUACGUAUGUCCCGAGCGUUAUCCGGAUUUAUUGGGCGUAAAGCGAGCGCAGACGGUUUAUUAAGUCUGAUGUGAAAUCCCGAGGCCCAACCUCGGAACUGCAUUGGAAACUGAUUUACUUGAGUGCGAUAGAGGCAAGUGGAACUCCAUGUGUAGCGGUGAAAUGCGUAGAUAUGUGGAAGAACACCAGUGGCGAAAGCGGCUUGCUAGAUCGUAACUGACGUUGAGGCUCGAAAGUAUGGGUAGCAAACGGGAUUAGAUACCCCGGUAGUCCAUACCGUAAACGAUGGGUGCUAGUUGUUAAGAGGUUUCCGCCUCCUAGUGACGUAGCAAACGCAUUAAGCACCCCGCCUGAGGAGUACGGCCGCAAGGCUAAAACUUAAAGGAAUUGACGGGGACCCGCACAAGCGGUGGAGCAUGUGGUUUAAUUCGAAGAUACGCGAAAAACCUUACCAGGUCUUGACAUACCAAUGAUCGCUUUUGUAAUGAAAGCUUUUCUUCGGAACAUUGGAUACAGGUGGUGCAUGGUCGUCGUCAGCUCGUGUCGUGAGAUGUUGGGUUAAGUCCCGCAACGAGCGCAACCCUUGUUAUUAGUUGCCAGCAUUUAGUUGGGCACUCUAAUGAGA